rnacentral:rRNA from 1 species
AGUGAACGCUGGCGGUAGGCCUAACACAUGCAAGUCGAACGGCAGCACAGUAAGAGCUUGCUCUUACGGGUGGCGAGUGGCGGACGGGUGAGGAAUACAUCGGAAUCUACUUUUUCGUGGGGGAUAACGUAGGGAAACUUACGCUAAUACCGCAUACGACCUACGGGUGAAAGCAGGGGAUCUUCGGACCUUGCGCGAUUGAAUGAGCCGAUGUCGGAUUAGCUAGUUGGCGGGGUAAAGGCCCAUCAAGGCGACGAUCCGUAGCUGGUCUGAGAGGAUGAUCAGCCACACUGGAACUGAGACACGGUCCAGACUCCUACGGGAGGCAGCAGUGGGGAAUAUUGGACAAUGGGCGAAAGCCUGAUCCAGCCAUACCGCGUGGGUGAAGAAGGCCUUCGGGUUGUAAAGCCCUUUUGUUGGGAAAGAAAAGCAGCAGGUUAAUACCCCGCUGUUCUGACGGUACCCAAAGAAUAAGCACCGGCUAACUUCGUG